rnacentral:rRNA from 1 species
AAGGGCACCACAAGAACCGGUGGAGCAUGUGGCUUAAUUUGACUCAACGCGGGAAAUCUUACCGGGUCCGGACACACUGAGGAUUGACAGGCAAUAUUAAAAUGCUUUUCUUGCGUGCAAGAGAACAUUUUAUGUCAAAUAUGCUAGUCCUUUCAUGAUUAUGUGAUAGGUGGUGCAUGGCCGUUCUUAGUUUGUGGAGUGAUCUGUCUGCUUAAUUGCGUUUCACUAAGGACUCAGAUAUCAUGUGUGUUUGCAGCUGGCUCUGACCCUUCAUUGUGUGUCUUUGUUCAGUUUGCGCACACUUCCGAGUCCUCAUUGCAACGAACGUGACCGCAACCUCUUGUUGCCUUUAGCUUUAUGCAGCUAGUGGCUUGAGCAUUUUUUUGCUUAAAGUUUACUGCUGCUAUUAAAGGCUUUUUAAAACUAGAGGGACCGCUGUAAUCUUUUAAACCAGAGGAAGGUUGCGGCAAUAACAGGUCUGUGAUGCCCUUAGAUGUUCCGGGCUGCACACGUGCUACAAUGAUUAUUGCAGUGAGCAUCUCAAUUGAUACACCGUUUGUGUUGUUGAGCUAUUUUUAAUAGUUUUUUACGACACACGGUAAAGCCUGCUUCGAAAGUAAGUGGGUAAUCAAUUAGAAGUAAUGAUUUCCCUUUUUAGCACACCUAUGCACGGCUGUUGCGUCCGGUCUAAGUUUACUUAGGCUCGCGUACGUAGCAGUUUUUUCGUGCGUGCAAUUGUUAAUUCAUGGUGGGGACAGACCAUUGUUAAUUGUUGGUCUCGGUCUCAACUAGGAAUGCCUUGUACGGGUCUUUGGUUCAACAGACCACCCGGAAUACGUCCCUGCCCUUUGUACACACCGCCCGUCGCUCUUACCGAUGGACUUCUCUGUGAGUUUGAGGGACUGGAUCUUGCAUCUAUGGAAACUUAAACGAACAGUGUGGUCUAAAGGAAAGAGAAGUCGUAACAAGGCAUCGGUAGGUGAACCU